UACGAAGGGGGCGAGCGUUGUUCGGAUUUACUGGGCGUAAAGGGCGUGCAGGCGGCUCAUUUUGUCAGGCGUGAAAGCCCCGGGCUUAACCUGGGAACUGCGUUUGAUACGGAUGGGCUAGAGUUCGGGAGAGGAGAGCGGAAUUCCCAGUGUAGAGGUGAAAUUCGUAGAUAUUGGGAAGAACACCGGUGGCGAAGGCGGCUCUCUGGACCGAUACUGACGCUGAGGCGCGAAAGCGUGGGGAGCAAACAGG
rnacentral:rRNA from 1 species